UCCGGGGGGAGCAAGCGUUGUUCGGAUUUACUGGGCGUAAAGGGCGGGUAGGCGGCCACCUCAAGUCAGUUGUGAAAUCUCUGGGCUUAACCCAGAAAGGUCAACUGAUACUGUGCGACUAGAGUGCAGAAGGGGCAACUGGAAUUCUCGGUGUAGCGGUGAAAUGCGUAGAUAUCGAGAGGAACACCUGCGGCGAAGGCGGGUUGCUGGGCUGACACUGACGCUGAUGCGCGAAAGCCAGGGGAGCGAACGGG
rnacentral:rRNA from 1 species